rnacentral:tRNA from 1 species
GGCUUCUGGCUCAGUAGUAGAGCGCUUGCCUGCCUAGCACGUGUGAGGCCCUGGGUUCGAUUCUCAGCACCA